rnacentral:rRNA from 1 species
ACGGUCCUAAGGUAGCGAAAUUCCUUGUCGGGUAAGUUCCGACCUGCACGAAUGGCGUAACGAUCUCCACACUGUCUCGGCCAGAGACUCGGUGAAAUUGCAGUCGCGGUGAAAAUUCCGUGUACCCGCAGAAAGACGGAAAGACCCUGUGCACCUUUACUAUAGCUUGACAUUGGAUUUUGGGCCUGCAUGUGUAGGAUAGGUGGGAGGCUGUGAACCCUGUACGCCAGUAUGGGGGGAGCCAUCCUUGAAAUACCACCCUUGCAUGUUUAAGAUCCUAACUUCUUCCGGUUAUCCCGGAGAAAGACAGUGUCUGGCGGGUAGUUUGACUGGGGCGGUCGCCUCCUAAAGUGUAACGGAGGCAUGCAAAGGUUCCCUCAGCCUGAUCGGAAACCAGGCGCUGAGUGCAAACGCAUAAGGGAGCUUGACUGUAAGAGAGACAUCUCGAACAGGAACGAAAGUUGGCGUUAGUGAUCCGGUGGUCCCGUAUGGAAGGGCCAUCGCUCAUUGGAUAAAAGGUACGCCGGGGAUAACAGGCUGAUCGCAUCCAAGAGUUCACAUCGACGAUGCGGUUUGGCACCUCGAUGUCGGCUCAUCACAUCCUGGGGCUGAAGCAGGUCCCAAGGGUACGGCUGUUCGCCGUUUAAAGUGGUACGCGAGCUGGGUUUAAAACGUCGUGAGACAGUUUGGUCCCUAUCUUCUGUGGGCGAAGGAGAAUUGAGAGGGCCUGUCCCUAGUACGAGAGGACCGGGAUGGACGUACCCCUGGUGAUCCUGUUGUCGCGCCAGCGGCAUAGCAGGGUAGCUAUGUGCGGAAGGGAUAACCGCUGAAAGCAUCUAAGCGGGAAGCCUGCCUCAAGAUAAGUUCUCCCCUCGAAAGAGCUGAAGGGCCCGGGUAGACUACCCGGUCGAUAGGCUGGAGGUGUAAGCGCGGCGACGUGCUCAGCUGACCAGUACUAAUAGCCCGAGCGGCUUAUUUUU